CCGCUAUCCGCUUAACGGUUGGACCGUGUCGCGGAAGGUUUUCCUGCACUGCAUCGGGUGAAGCACCCGGAUAGGUGAAGCG
rfam:Alcaligenaceae bacterium LMG 29303 isolate Orrdi1 genome assembly, contig: contig1